rnacentral:rRNA from 1 species
UACGGAGGGGGCUAGCGUUGUUCGGAAUUACUGGGCGUAAAGCGCGCGUAGGCGGCUUUGUAAGUUAGAGGUGAAAGCCCGGAGCUCAACUCCGGAACUGCCUUUAAGACUGCAUCGCUAGAAUUGUGGAGAGGUGAGUGGAAUUCCGAGUGUAGAGGUGAAAUUCGUAGAUAUUCGGAAGAACGCCAGUGGCGAAGGCGACUUCCUGGCCUGUUCUUGACGCUGAGGCGCGAAAGCUAGGGUAGCAAACGGG